UACAGCCAUAUCACAUUGAAAGACCAGUUUCCAUACGAUCACUGAAUUUAAUCAAUGUCAAGCCCAGUCAGUACCUAGAUUGGUGACUACUUGGGAAUACCUGGUGCUGUAAG